GAGCCAGGGUGCUGGGAGUGCAGAGGGUGGGGGUGGUGGCAGCUGAGUGGGAGGCCCCAGGUGGUCCUGGGCUGCCCUGUGAGCCUGGCCCGAGAAUCCGAGAAACCUCUGCCUGUGGGACUCUUUGCCUGGCCAGUCCCCGUUCCGGCAGCAGGUGGACAAGGCGGUCAGACACCAGGGGCACCUGCGUACCCAGGGGAGCACUGGUCGGCUGCCCACACUUGCCCCUCCGAGAAGAAAUGAGAUGUGUGUUGUUCAGCCAAGGUCCUGAGGUGGGACGGUGGGGGUGGGCACUGGGGAAUGAGCUGGCUGGCUGCAGGGGACAGAUGGACAGCCUGGAAUUUUUGGUUUGGUAAACACAUGGGGAGGCCACCCUCGUCCCUCGCUCUUGCUUCCAGAUUCUCCGCAGCAGAGGAGGCUGUGCAGAGUGGCCACGCUCCUGUACAUAUCCGCCAUCCGCUCAGAUGGACGGGCGAGACGUCCCUGGCCAUGCCUAGGCCCUCAGCCCUGGAGACAGCCACCAGGCCUCCCAAUCCAGGGUCCCCCCACGGGCCAAACGAACCUACUGUCAGCCCCUGCGGCUGGCCUGGGGUCCCUGCAGUGGGGAGGCCGGGCUGGGUGGGACCGAGGCUCUGGACAUUCUGGAAGCAGCGGUGGCAGCAGCAGCUUAGUGAGAUGCAGAGAGACCCUCCAGCAGCGCGGCCAGGAUGAGGCACGGUGCAGCCCCUCCUUCCUGGGAGGUCAGGGAGUGCCUCGGCGCCGCGUCACACGCCAGGCUUGUCCCUGUAGAAGGGCGUGACGUGGAACAUGUAGCAGUGCGUGCACACGCGGACGGGCUUCACCUGCCCAUAGCGGGGCAGCGGCGCCGAGUGCGAGGAGCAGCGGGAGCAGAAGAUCUGGAACCGAGGGGGGCCGUGAGCAGGGCGGGCCUCGCCAGCCCACACACCCGCCCACCCAGACCAGGCAGGGCGCUUGUGGCUGGGGGUCUGCCGGGCCCUAGGAGCUGUGGAGCUGAGGCCUCAGGAGACUGAGCAAGGGCAUGGGCUCCCGAGGGGGUUCAGGCCCCGCACCAAGUCCCCUGCAGCCUCCUAUCCAGACCCUCUGUCCCCUGUCCCUGGCUCUGAAAUGGCGAGGCUGGACAUGGGCACCAACCAGGGUUUGUGGGCCAGAUGCCUAGAGUCAAAGCAGGACCUGGGACUCAGGGGCCCUCUUCAUGGACCCCAGAGGCCUGGCCAGCCUCCCAGGGCCUCGGUCCUGACUUCCAGACCUCGUGGUGUGCCUGCGGACGCACCCCAGGAUGCGGUGCGCCAACUCCACAGGCGCCGCCUACCUUCCCGCAGCUUCGGCAGUGGUGCUUCCGGCGGAUGACGGUGAAGGGUGCUUUGCAAGCGGUGCAGACGCCACAGGCCUCAUCUGGCACCCACUCAGGUCUUGGCUGCGAGUUCAGAGGAUGACAGGGUCUCCUGGCAGAGUACGCAGUCCUCCAAGGCCGCACUCCGCAGGGUCUGAGUGACUGGAAGAGAAAGGGGUGUGCAAUGUGGUUGAGCCCAGUCACCUGGCCCCGGCCCAGACAUCGCACCCGAAAUGCAGACAAACAGGCGGUGGAUCAGGUCGUGACUGCUGUGGAACCUGGACCGGAUCUUCUCUCUUAUGGCCGUGGGUGUGGCCUGCGUGGCUGCGGGGGUGGCCUCCAGCUUGAUCUUGUCUAAGGAGCAGGAACCAGCCAUGGAGCCACUGCACAAAGAAGGAGACACUGGACAGAAGAGGGGACGGAGCACAGAGGAGAGGAGGCUCUGUGACUGUGGAGACAAACGCUGGAGCGAUGCAGCCACAGCCAAGGGACAGCUGCAGCCACCAGAAGCUGGAAGAGGCAGGAAGGCGCCUCCCCAGAGCCCGCAGAGGGAGCACGGCCCUGCCACAUUGGGGACUUCUGGGCUCCAGACUGUGAGAGAAUAAGUCUCUGUUCACAUAGGCCACCCAGUCUGUGGUGCUUUGUCACAGCAGCCGGGGGAGUCUAGCACGUGCUUCCCCGCCACGUGCUUCCGUCUCCGUCCUCCCGGCAGCCGUGGCCUCGGUCGAGAUUAGCUUUGCCGUGCGGACCCCACCGUGACUGUGUAAAUGGCGCUCGCAUUUGGGCUUGUACUGGGUCAGGGCUAAUUCCAGGCAAUGCACUCACCGACCCUCCAAUUUUACAACAAUUUAUAUCCUAUAAUCUUUCUGUCUUUUUGUCCCACUUUCUGGAAAAUUUCCUCAAUUUUUUUCUUCCCAUUUCAUUUUUAAUUUUUUUUCUUCCAAUUUUACCA